CGAAGGGUGCAAGCGUUACUCGGAAUUACUGGGCGUAAAGCGUGCGUAGGUGGUUCGUUAAGUCUGAUGUGAAAGCCCUGGGCUCAACCUGGGAAUGGCAUUGGAUACUGGCGACCUAGAGUGCGGUAGAGGGUAGUGGAAUUCCCGGUGUAGCAGUGAAAUGCGUAGAUAUCGGGAGGAACAUCUGUGGCGAAGGCGACUACCUGGACCAGCACUGACACUGAGGCACGAAAGCGUGGGGAGCAAACAGGAUUAGAUACCCUGGUAGUCCACGCCCUAAACGGUGCGAACUGGAUGUUGGGUGCAACUUGGCACUCAGUAUCGAAGCUAACGCGUUAAGUUCGCCGCCUGGGAAGUACGGUCGCAAGACUG
rnacentral:rRNA from 1 species